rnacentral:rRNA from 1 species
AGUGAACGCUGGCGGUAGGCCUAACACAUGCAAGUCGAACGGCAGCACAGUAAGAGCUUGCUCUUACGGGUGGCGAGUGGCGGACGGGUGAGGCAUACAUCGGAAUCUACUUUUUCGUGGGGGAUAACGUAGGGAAACUUACGCUAAUACCGCAUACGACCUACGGGUGAAAGCAGGGGAUCUUCGGACCUUGCGCGAUUGAAUGAGCCGAUGUCGGAUUAGCUAGUUGGCGGGGUAAAGGCCCACCAAGGCGACGAUCCGUAGCUGGUCUGAGAGGAUGAUCAGCCACACUGGAACUGAGACACGGUCCAGACUCCUACGGGAGGAAGCAGUGGGGAAUAUUGGACAAUGGGCGAAAGCCUGAUCCAGCCAUACCGCGUGGGUGAAGAAGGCCUUCGGGUUGUAAAGCCCUUUUGUUGGGAAAGAAAAGCAGCAGGUUAAUACCCCGCUGUUCUGACGGUACCCAAAGAAUAAGCACCGGCUAACUUCGUG